CGCGGUGUGGAGCAGUUGGUAGCUCGCAGGCUCAUAACCUGGAGGUCGCAUGUUCGAGUCCUGCCGCCGCAACAA
rnacentral:tRNA from 1 species